CACGUAGGCGGAUCAGAAAGUAAGAGGUGAAAUCCCAGGGCUCAACCCUGGAACUGCCUUUUAAACUCCUGGUCUUGAGUUCGAGAGAGGUGAGUGGAAUUCCGAGUGUAGAGGUGAAAUUCGUAGAUAUUCGGAGGAACACCAGUGGCGAAGGCGGCUCACUGGCUCGAUACUGACGCUGAGGUGCGAAAGCGUGGGGAGCAAACA
rnacentral:rRNA from 1 species